AAUCCAGAGAUGGAUUUGUGCCUUCGGGAACCGUGAGACAGGUGCUGCAUGGCUGUCGUCAGCUCGUGUUGUGAAAUGUUGGGUUAAGUCCCGCAACGAGCGCAACCCUUAUCCUUUGUUGCCAGCGAUUAGGUCGGGAACUCAAAGGAGACUGCCAGUGAUAAACUGGAGGAAGGUGGGGAUGACGUCAAGUCAUCAUGGCCCUUACGACCAGGGCUACACACGUGCUACAAUGGCGCAUACAAAGAGAAGCGACCUCGC
rnacentral:rRNA from 1 species